rnacentral:rRNA from 1 species
GAAUUGACGGGGGCCCGCACAAGCGGUGGAGCAUGUGGUUUAAUUCGAUGCAAACGCGAAAAACCUUACNUGCCCUUGACAUGUCAGGAAUCUUUCAGAGAUGAGAGAGUGCCUUCGGGAGCCUGAACACAGGUGCUGCAUGGCUGUCGUCAGCUCGUGUCGUGGGAUGUUGGGUUAAGUCCCGUAACGAGCGCAACCCUUGUCCUUAGUUGCCAGCGGUCCGGCCGGGAACUCUAAGGAGACUGCCGGUGAUAAACCGGAGGAAGGUGGGGACGACGUCAAGUCAUCAUGGCCCUUAUGGGCAGGGCUACACACGUGCUACAAUGGCCAGUACAGAAGGUUGCCAACCCGCGAGGGGGAGCUAAUCCUGAAAAGCUGGUCGUAGUCCGGAUCGCAGUCUGCAACUCGACUGCGUGAAGUCGGAAUCGCUAGUAAUCGCGAAUCAGCAUGUCNUCGGUGAAUACGUUGCCCGGGCCUUGUACACACCGCCCGUCACACCAUGGGANUGGGCUGCACCAGAAGUAGGUUGCUUAACCCGUAAGGGAGGCGCUU